UGAGGGUAGGAGGAGUGAACAUGGCAUUGCAGAGUGCCGGGGAUACCUUGAAUAAACAAUUCAGUCAAGCGACUGACUGCAGGACUCAAGAAAAACUCUAGAAAACCGCACAUGUGGGGAAUAGACGCGGUCAGCCCCAUUCACCUGUCCGUUUUUUUUUUUUUAACAUCUCAAUUGUUCGUAAAGAGAAAUAUCAUAUACGCGUCUCCGACUAUUCCCUGAAUGCAGCAUAAUUUUCAACGGGAUUUUCUUUUUUCACCAUCCGCGCAGCGAGGCUGCCUCCUCCGGCCUCGACUGCUGACGAAUGGCAGCGGAUUACAGAUGAGGACACGAUGACCUGUUCGACCUUCCCGCAGCAGGUGGAGCAGAGGGAGGGGCCUGACAGGCCGGGCCCAGAGCCUCAGGUCACUGGAGGAUGAGGUCGUGAGAAGGUGGAGGAUCUGCCAGGUGGCCAAUGACAGAGUGUCACAUGACAGUAGCUUGAUGUCAAUGUGUCAAGGGUAGACCUGUGGC
rnacentral:lncRNA from 1 species